UAGAGUUUGAUCCUGGCUCAGAUUGAACGCUGGCGGCAUGCUUUACACAUGCAAGUCGAACGGCAGCGCGGGCUUCGGCCUGGCGGCGAGUGGCGAACGGGUGAGUAAUAUAUCGGAACGUACCCAAGAGUGGGGGAUAACGUAGCGAAAGUUACGCUAAUACCGCAUACGAUCCAAGGAUGAAAGCAGGGGACCGCAAGGCCUUGUGCUCCUGGAGCGGCCGAUAUCUGAUUAGCUAGUUGGUGAGGUAAAGGCUCACCAAGGCAACGAUCAGUAGCUGGUCUGAGAGGACAACCAGCCACACUGGAACUGAGACACGGUCCAGACUCCUACGGGAGGCAGCAGUGGGGAAUUUUGGACAAUGGGGGCAACCCUGAUCCAGCAAUGCCGCGUGAGUGAAGAAGGCCUUCGGGUUGUAAAGCUCUUUUGUCAGGGAAGAAAAGGGAGUGGCUAAUAUCCAUUCCUGCUGACGGUACCUGAAGAAUAAGCACCGGCUAACUACGUGCCAGCAGCCGCGGUAAUACGUAGGGUGCAAGCGUUAAUCGGAAUUACUGGGCGUAAAGCGUGCGCAGGCGGUUUCGUAAGUCUGUCGUGAAAUCCCCGGGCUUAACCUGGGAAUGGCGAUGGAGACUGCGAGGCUAGAGUUUGGCAGAGGGGGGUAGAAUUCCACGUGUAGCAGUGAAAUGCGUAGAGAUGUGGAGGAACACCGAUGGCGAAGGCAGCCCCCU
rnacentral:rRNA from 1 species